CAGCAGCCGCGGGAAUACGGAGGGUGCAAGCGUUAAUCGGAAUUACUGGGCGUAAAGCGCACGCAGGCGGUCUGACAAGUCAGAUGUGAAAUCCCCGGGCUUAACCUGGGAACUGCAUUUGAAACUGUCAGGCUGGAGUCUUGUAGAGGGGGGUGGAAUUCCAGGUGUAGCGGUGAAAUGCGUAGAGAUCUGGAGGAAUACCGGUGGCGAAGGCGGCCCCCUGGACAAAGACUGACGCUCAGGUGCGAAAGCGUGGGGAGCAAACAGGAUUAGAUACCCCUGUAGUCCCUGUCUCUUAUAC
rnacentral:rRNA from 1 species